ACGUAGGUGGCAAGCGUUAUCCGGAUUUACUGGGCGUAAAGGGUCCGUAGGUGGUUGGGAGGGUCUGGUGUGAAAGCGCUCGGCUUAACUGGGCGAGGACAAUGAAGACUGGUCAGCUAGAGGACGGUAGAGGGGUGUGGAAUUCCGGGUGUAGUGGUGAAAUGCGUAGAGAUCCGGAGGAACACCAGAGGCGAAGGCGACACCCUGGGCCGUACCUGACGCUAAGACGCGACAGCACGGGGAGCGAACGG
rnacentral:rRNA from 1 species